rnacentral:lncRNA from 1 species
GUUGUUCUGUCAUUUAUGCUGGUUGAUUAAAAAGAAAUCAUUGUAUUACAGUAAUUAGAGUCCAAUGAGAUUCAUCAUUAAGAAAAAUAGGAAUUAUAAUAAUUUUGCAUUUAUAUUUAAUAUUUACAUUAUUUUUGUGAAGCAUAAAGCACAUUUUCUAAACGUCAGAAAUGUUGUUUUUUUCUAGAGUCGACCGCUGUACCAGAGGAACCCGUUGAACCCGCUGUCGCUGUGAAAGGUCUGACGCUGGACUAUCUGUCGUUUAUUAGACUGCUGUUGUACUGUGCAGCUUUGUGUUUACUUGUGCUUCUGUGCUUUCUCCAGAUAAUUCUGCAGGAUUCGAUCUUUCUGAUGCGCUCGAAAAGGAACUACAACCAGAGGAUGCAGUAAAGACUGCAUUGGGAGAUGCAGACCAGCACAGCUCAGGUCAAGGCAGAGCUCGCAGCGCUGGAGCAGUUUCUGAGCCAAACGACAGCGGAUCUGGUACGGUUGUUGGUGUUGUUUGUGGGAUUGCAGUAGCAGCUGUUGGUGCCAUAGCCGGAUACUUCACCUAUCAGAAGAAGAAACUGUGCUUCAAGGUCCAGAGAGGUCUGUGGCUCUGCUCAUGCUCUAGAAGACAUUCAGAUGUGAAUCAGUAAAACACUGUCUUAGUUACAUGUGCUGACACAUGAUUUAUAAAUAUGAAAUCUAAAACACUUACAGUCUAAAACACAACAGGCAAAUUGUGUUGUUUCUGCACCAUCAGAUGUGUUUUUCUACUUGGUCUCAACAUAACAUUUGCUCAACCAAUGAUGUGGAGUUUGGAGCAGGUGUAAUUGU